rnacentral:tRNA from 1 species
AGCAUUUUUCCCCCAGGUAAAGGGGCCAUGUUCUUUGACUAAUACUGCUGGAAUAUGCAAGGGUUCAAUUCCCUUAAAGGUUUCCA